CAGCAGCCACGGUAAUACGGAGGGGGCUAGCGUUGUUCGGAAUUACUGGGCGUAAAGCGCACGUAGGCGGAUAUUUAAGUCAGGGGUGAAAUCCCAGAGCUCAACUCUGGAACUGCCUUUGAUACUGGGUAUCUUGAGUAUGGAAGAGGUGAGUGGAAUUCCGAGUGUAGAGGUGAAAUUCGUAGAUAUUCGGAGGAACAUCAGUGGCGAAGGCGGCUCACUGGUCCAUUACUGACGCUGAGGUGCGAAAGCGUGGGGAGCAAACAGGAUUAGAUACCCCAGUAGUCCCUGUCUCUUAUAC
rnacentral:rRNA from 1 species